CCAACUGUCUGGGGGACUCAGGGUACUAUAUCAAAAGCUUGAAGAAAAAAAACAAGGCUUGUGUAAGGAACAAACUCUACUGCACAGAGCGGCUACAAUACCAAAAGUAUUAGCAUCACAGACUGGCAAAGAUGGCAAAUUCAAGCCUUGUUACCCAGUUCCAUUACUUGCUGGAAGAUACGCAUUUAUUCAGUUAUUGGUGAAGGGGAAUCAUCACUCUUAAUUUCAGCAGAGG